UAACGGACGAAAUUCAGGGAUGAUUGUUUGAGCAAAAAAUCGAAUCAAACUUUCUCUCUCCUCUUCUCUUCUCUCUCUCCUUCGUUAUCUUCUUAAACUCAGAAAUUUUCUUUCUCCUCUCUCCUUUAUCCUUCGUUUAUUCCAUAUCAAACUUUCUCUCUCCUCUUCUCCUUUCUCCUUUCUCCUUCUAGGAAAAGGAAACUUGAUCAUCAGCAAAUCGAAGAGAAAUCCUCAGAAUUUUGAACCAUGAAAAACAAAAUUCGCUUGAAACUACUUGAGAAAACUUGCCGAUUUUCCAAUCACAAAUCAUGCGAGAACAAAAUAUAACAAUCAAUCGAAAACAUAAAUUGAAGGAGCGAUGCAAUAACGCAAAUCGAAAAUUCAGAAAUCGAGAUGAAAUUUCGAAUCUUCAACUGAAUUUUUGAAUCUAGUAAUUUUCAAUCGAAAUUGCCAAGAGAUCUUCAUUUUCCAUUUCUGAAGACAAGCUUGUUGAGAUCUUCAUUUUCCAUUUCCAAAGAGCUGUGCAAAUAAAUAUCAAGGAUGAGAAUGUGAUAUUGGAAGUAAAUUCGCUACGGUAAAUUGUCCGUUGUACAUUACUGCUUACUCUGUCCAUAAUUUCUUGAAAAUGUAUCGUGUCAGUAAUUUGAUGAACUCUGUGGUUGGUCUUUGAAUUAUUUGUCGUCUUCAAAUUCGAUCUGUUUGGUUUGGAAUUUUGAAAGAUCAUUCACAUUUUUCAUAA